rnacentral:rRNA from 1 species
UACAGAGGGUGCGAGCGUUAAUCGGAAUUACUGGGCGUAAAGCGUGCGUAGACGGUUAUUUAAGUCGGGUGUGAAAGCCCCGGGCUCAACCUGGGAAUUGCAUUCGAGACUGAAUAGCUAGGGUACGGUAGAGGGAAGCGGAAUUUCCGGGUGUAGCGGUGAAAUGCGUAGAUAAUCGGAAGGAACAUCAGUGGCGAAAGCGCCUUCCUGGACAAGUAUUGGACGCUGAGGCUGCGAAAGCGUGGGGAUCAAAGCAGG